CCGUGAACGUCGUCUCAUACCGAACGAAGUAUGGAGACUUGGUCAUUUGGCGCUCAUACCGGACGGGGUAUGGGGACAGCUUGUUUCACCCUCAUACCAGACGGGCUAUUGAGGUUUAAUGUCUUGGCACUCAUACCGGACGGGGUAUGGGGACGACCUGCUUCACCCUCAUACCGGACGAGGUAUUGAGAUUUAAUAUUUUGGCCCUCAUACCAGACAGGGUAUGGGGACGGCCCUGGAAUUAAGAUUGUUAAAAAGAAUGGUUCACGUGUGGCGGGGACACCCCUAUGGAUCCCCAUGGAUAUUAGUAGGCUGGUGAAAAUGAGAAAUGAUGAUAAUCAGUUAUUGUUAAUGAAUACAAAAUUAUGAUAUGUUUUAUGUUACUGAUUAUACAUGAAAUAGUGAUUUGUAUGAUGUCAUUGUCUUUAUAAGUUGUUUUCACAGGUUCUCCAAGGGUAACAAAAAG
rnacentral:lncRNA from 1 species